GUAAGGUCUGCACUCAGUUCCUACUUCCUCCAUGUCUUUUGGGGAGAGUCGUGUGGUACCAUGGGCUUAGUUCCAUCCGCAUGGGCUCUCCUGCAGGUUGCUAACUUAUGGCCUUCUCAGUGUUCUUGGGAGUGUAGCAAGAAGUCCUCUUCUGCUGGGAGAAAAGCGUGGGGCAGAAGAACUCACCCUGACAGGGAGGAAGACACUGGACUGCUGAGUUGUAGGAGCCGGCUAUGAAGAACUAGUGUCAUAAGAAGCUGAAGACGGUUUUGCUUGAGUUGAACUUUAUUACAUCAAUUCACCUCUGUAUCCAUCAUUUCUCAUAUCCUUUUGGCCACUUAGUUGCCUAUCUAUACAUACAACCAUCAUUUAGAGUUCUAGCUAACUGAGGCCUCUUCUGUGUCAUGCUCUAAGGUUACCAUGGUGAACUGGAUAGAUCUGCUCUCCAUCUUUGCAAGCCCACAGCUGGAAGGGGUUAGAGAAUAGUGAAAGUGGCCAUCUGUGUGGGUGGAUGCUCAUAAGAGGGCUGCACUGUAGUCAGAAUACACUGAACACACAUGCACCCUGCUUACACUAUGUGGCUAGAUGGACGGAGAUGGACAAAUGGACAUGAGAAAGAAUAGAUAGUCUAUAAAAUAGAUGGAUAUAGUAAAGCCCAAUUCAGAGUUUCUGUCUUAUUGAAAAGAUGACAGAAUUAUUCUUAUAGCCAAGAACUUUUUUUACUUGAUAUUUAAGGCUUAUAUACUAAGUUGAGAGGAAAACUAAGAUGGUAAAUUAGCUUGAGUCUUCUUGAUCCAUCUGUCCUCCUCUGUGAUGAGCAGAGGAGUUCAUUCAGAGCUGUUAGGCUGGGUUCUUCCUCUAAUUUUUAAAACCCUUGCUUCUCUUUGCUACAUGGAAAAUGAUAGUACAGUCAGCUCCCUGGACCACUGGGUUCUUUAUCCCUUUAUCCAGGUAUUCAAUUAACCUCUGGUUUAAAAGUUUUAUUAGAAAAACAAAUUGUGUCCAUACUAAGCAUGUGUAAAACUUUUCCUGGUCAUGUUGCCCUAAAGAAUGUUGCAUAAUAACUAUUUAUACAACAUGCACAUUGUAUUUGUUAUUAUGAAUAAUCUUGAAGGGAUUUAAAAUGUAUGGAAAGAUAUAUGCAAGCUAUAUGCAAAAUUACAUCAUCUUCUAAUAAGAGGCAUGAGCGCUGUGUAUUUGAGUAUUCACAGUAGGUUCUGGAGUCAAUGUUCUCAGAGCCUGGCAGUCAACUGUGUUCAUUCUCUCUAUUGCUGUUGUGAGACUUGCCCUGGUGCUUAGUAUGGUCACACUGUAAGCCUCUAGCUUAUUCCUAUUAAACCCCAGAGGGCUGGAGCAGUGCUUUCUUGCUUUUCAAAUGAUAAGUAGCAAUCAUGGCAUAUUUAAAGCAAAGUAAUUACAUCCUUCACAUAACUUACUGAUGGGACUGCAGUUACUCUAGUGCAUUAUCAACAUUCUCUCUCUCUCUCUCUCUCUCUCUCUCUCUCUUUCUUUCUCUCUUUCUGUGUGUGUGUGUGUUUCAGGGAUAUAGAUAUGUCUAGGUUGAACUCCCCUUUGUAUAAAUAGCACUAAAUUGUAUCUUUAAGUGGUUUGAAAAGUAUUGUGUCUUAGCACAAGGAAGACUAAGGAAGGAAAGAAUAGAAAGGUUUUCUUCGCAAGGAGAUAUAAGAACCUCACAAUUUUAGGAGAGAAUGUAGCAGGUUGUGGUACCAAAAGCAGAGCCUGUAACGUGUCUGGUAAGAAGAAGAGUCACAAGUGUGCACCACUGUAGGCAGAAGCUUGUAGUCCUGACUGUAGGGCUCUGCUCCUCAUCCCAAGACAAUGCUGGCACAUGCAGCUCCCCUUGCCAGUUGCUUGAUUUUUAGGAAGAGUAAGAUGGUUAUUCACCCCCAUGAAAAGGCCCUAGGAGCCAGGAAGAAAAUGGCUACAAAGAGCAGCCAUGAGGGUCCCUUUUAGUCCAGGAAUAGGCAAGGCACAGAGCUAUCUUCCACUGUCACCAAAGCAGAGGCCUUCUGCAUUCUCCAUCCCGCCCCCUGCCCCGCCGCCCCCUUCUUAGUACUAAAAAUUUAGUUGUGUUUUUCAUCCAAGAGUAUCUACUAACAUCCCAGCGCUGCUGUGAUAAAUCCCCUAAGCUGAAGGGCUUACAGAAACACAUUAUUACUUCAAGUUCAGGUGGGGCUUUGGGUGUUCUGCUUCUGGUACACCCAGGGCACAAUUAAAGCCUCAGUGGGAAGCCUUCUCCUCUGGAGGCUGGGCUGGGAAGAAUUCACUGCCAGACUCCUUCAGAUGGCUGGCAGUUCAUUUUCUUGGGGCUGUUUUAGGACUGAGGAGCUGCCUGGGGCUCUCAGCUAGAAACUUCCUUCAUUAGCAACCAUGGAGAACUCCCUGCAAUGGGCCUCUCAACAUGGCGGCUUACCUCACCACACCAGUGAGGAGUGUUUCCAGGGUAGAUGUGUGAUGGAGAAUUUAGAAACGUAGUCUUGGUAGGGACUGCUCAUCCUCUUUACCGUAUUCUUUGGUUAGGACAAAUUCAGAUCCCAGUCAGCCAUGGGCACGGUGAAGAGAUCAGGAGUGGAGAGAGUGGAGGCCCUUAUACUCCGUACCUCACUGUGACUCAAUCUUUCACUUCAACAGGCAUUUUAGUGGCAAGAAUAACUUCAGGCUCUCCCUCUAGGUCUCUUCUGCAAUCAUAGCCUCUCUAGAUGGUGUUCUCAUCAAUUCCUGGUCUCCACCUCCAAAAUACUUUUCCAUCCUCUGGAAUCUGGCCAUGCUCUGGGGAAGACUUUCUUGACACCAGACAAAGGUGCAUUACCUGUUUAACUCCCUCUCUUGACCCACUUCUGUUUAUCUUUUCAAUUUUGUAUUUGUUUUGCAUAAUAGCUAGAUGCAUUGUGUCCUGGAUUCUUGCCUUCAGCACUUUUGAACUUAAUUAAAUAUUUGAUAUCCAUUUAAUUUUCCUUCCUACAGAUUGUUUGGUUAGUUUUGAAUUAUUGUAGCGACUCCCCUUUGAUGGGACUCGAUGAUGCUGAAGUAGUGGACAAUCCACUAGUCAAUAAGAAGCUUGUAUUAUUUUUCUUUCCAAGUGUUAUUCUGGUCCCAUGUCCACAAACAGCAUUAGAUUCUAGAAAAUACUCUUCCCAAACAAGAAUUCAGCAAGAGAGAAGUAAUUCAAAUGUUUCCAAGGACUUUUCCUGUUCUUUGAGAAAUCAGUUGCCAGAAGAGAGAAUGCCUUGUUUUUUCCCCUGCUUCCCACUGUGAGGCUAGGGGCUUCCUCCCAGCAAGCAUGGCAGUGAGGUCAGCCUCUAGGGGCUCUGUGGUGAGGACAGAUGCCCUGGGCAGUGGUGGAGGGGACACUGAGUCCUUGCCUGUGGUAGCAUGGCUGCACAUGUUAGUUCCAGAGCCGGCCAUCACUUUCAAUCCCAGAUCCGUUAUUUACAACUCAAGUACCCUAGAAGGAGAUAUUUGGCCAAUGUGCCUCAGUCUCCUCAUGAGUAAGACAGGGAACAAGACCGCAUGUGGAAUGCUUGAGUUUCACACAGCCUAACACUGGGAACCCACACAUGUUAACUGAUAAUGACCACCCCCACCCCGGGGCUUCAUUUCUGGUAGUGUUCUAGGACAUCAACGAGGCUUUAUAUUUUCUGGAACUGUCUUCCUCAGUUUUAAAAUGUGAAAUUUCGAGGAAGACACCAAUAUGAAGCAAUGAGUUGUUCUAAUGUAACUUUCUAACCAAUACCUUCGUACCCAUUUCAUUCUCCUGUUGAACAGUAUCUCUUGUAGUGGAUAUUCAUCUUCUAGUAAUUUCUUUAUCAGGGUUAUAAAGACUUAUCUGACCUGAAGGGUGCUGUCUUUCUUAUUAUUUCUCAGAUUAUUUCUCAGUUUAACUAACUAUUUUCAUGUCCCAGGAAUGUUCACACUUGCUUAUAAUCUCAGCACUCUGGAGUAGGAUCGCACAUUUGAGGCUAUCCUGGGCUACAUUCAGGGACCAUAGAUUUGCACUAGUCUUCAUUUACAGUGGGGAAAGGAGAACCAGGGCCAGGGCCAUGCAGGCUAAUGUCACCCUUCACCAUGUAUGCCACUUGGCCAAGAUGAGCAGAAUGGCCCAGAGUGCUGACACACAAGAGGGCGUGUGCCACCAACACUGCUUGCUCUGCAGGUGGGUGUGAGGGACGUUUCUAGCUGUCCAGAUGCCACCGCAGAUCAGCAAGACCUAGAUUCCAGAAUGUUCUGGAAGUCUCACUCCAUAAUUUUCAAAAUUUACAACAAUAAGUUGGGCCUCUGGGUACACUUGGAUGAUGUAUGUUUUACUUGGGAACUUUGAAUUGUGUUGUUUUUCCACUAGGAUCUGAUUACAGAAUGUCCAAAAUGACCGACAAUUCUGUCAGGACAGUAGGUUAGGGAAAUGCUGACACGGAGUUACGUAGCUACUUUAUGUGGGGCUUUUAGCUAAAUGGGAGUGAGAAGAAGAACCUAUCACCAAGCUCUAGGAGAAAGUUUCAUGAGCCGACCUACGUCCACAGGUGAGACAGCCAUCAGACGGGAAGCCCAGCAGCUCUGUUGACAGCGGUGGCCAGGGACACACUCUCGAUUGUUAUUGGUCAGGUACUGUCCGGUAACUACAGCAGCAGUUCAUUUAUUUAAUAUACAUAAUUGCAAUAUUUAAAAGAAUUUAAAAAUUCCAAAGGCCUCAAAAAUACCUUCUCCCACAUUACUGGGCAUUGGCACUUAGCAUAAUCUUUUUGUUUCUAAUUUAAAAUAGAUUUUCCAUCUAAUUUAUUGGAAAGCUGGGGCAACACCAUGGGUCAUAUUUCAUUACCUUCUUAUUAAUGGCACCUAAUACAUAUGCGUCUGCAAUAACGUGUUAACUUAAAUUAUGUUAUUCAAUAGUGGGAACCCUUUAACUAGAAGUGUGUGCUUUUGGAGUCGAUUAUAAUUUGGGAAAUUUUCAUUAUAUUUGUAAAUUUUUGUGAACUGGUCUAAAAAUACAGCGUCGAACUGAUCACUUUUAAUUUUGUGCGAAUGUCUUUAAAAGUUGCCUUUAAUUCCCAAAUUAGUGGGAUGGAAGAGGAGAAGCAAUUUGGCUAAUGCUGCUCGGAGCCGCAGCUUGUUAUGAGCUGACCGGUGGAUGGGGACGCUGAUCAAAUUGUCUCUGCUGCAUUAUCCCGGGAAAGACUCUUCCUCCGCGGCUCGUUCAGACCAGAGCACCGCUGAGCUGCUGAUGGAGGGUGUGGAAAGCACUGACAGAGAGAACAGAAAAUAUUUGACUCCGAACACAUUUUUAAAACACGAUGGUGUUGAUAGUCCUUUCAGUUAAGUUUUGGCCCCACGUCCUCCCUUCAUUUAUGUAAUUAUUUGGGGACAAGGAUGGCCAAGUGAUGAUGACUCUUCGUCUGAAACCCAGAUUUGCUGGCAUCGUACGCACUGUUGCGGGGCUGGCACUUCCAUCUGAUGGAAGUGGCUUACAUUAAGAGAUUUGUUGUCAGGCUUCCAAAGGCAGAGAUGGCAGGAAGCUUGUUGACUUUAAUGUGAUUGAUUAGUGACCUAUAUUCUAAAUGGUGCACCUCGAAAAGUGUGCAAAAUUGUCCUUUCUCGGGUUGGAGAUUGCCGCUGCACAGCCGUGUCAGCUGAUCCUAACUGAGCAGCUCCUGGGGUCUUCACCGCCAUGCUCUGGAGAAGGCUUGUUUCUGGCGUCUCUCCUCUAGAGCCGUGUACCCCGGACCCGGCAGCCUCAAGUUGAACUCUGUGCAUAAGGCCAGGUGAAGUGAGUUUCCACUGACUUUGGGUACAAAUGAGAACACAACAGGGCGCCUUUCUGGCUCCCUUUUAUUUUCCCAAAUUACCUAUGGGUGCAAUUUCCAGAGCAGGUGUGGCUAGAAGGGCCAGAGGGCCACAGAACCAAGGCAGGGUGUCAGCAAACUCAUAGCUCAAGCCAAAGUUUGCUAAGGAAGUUCCUGGUCAGAAUGUUCCUUCCUCUCUUGGGAGGCCUGAAGCUUUGCCCCAAGGACUGAAGCCUCGACCUGUAGGCUGCAGCAGCGCACAGCACUUGGCGUAGGGCUGGCCAUCUAGGGCAGCCAGGGGCUAUCGCUCACUCAUGAGAGGAAGAAUCACGAAUGGAGGAGAGAGUUCGAGAGAAGGGACUCUUGGAGAAGGUUAUCAGCGGAGGAUCGGUGAGUUUCGUAUUCCAGGGACACCCUUCAGCUGAGCAUUAAACUGUGUGUCGUCAGGCUCAGGCGCUUUUCCCUCAGGAUGCCCGUCACAGUCUAUUUUCUGCUUUUCUGGCAGAAUACCCGUAAGUAAGUAACCUAUAAGCUACAGGAACUUACUGUCCUGUGGAUCUACAGGCUGUGAAGUCCAAGAUCAAGGCCCUAGCACACAGUGAGAGCUUUUUAAUUGUAUCAUAAUAAAGGAAAGGGCAAGGACAGCAAGAGAGACAGGAGAUAUACACGUAUGUAUAUAUGUAUACAUGCAUGUAUGUAGUGUGCAUGUUAUGUAUGUGUUGCCGUGUAUGUAUGUAUAUCCCUCUCUCCCCAUUCCUGUCUCCUUUGCUGUUCAGGACUUUGGAUUCUGCUGUCUACAUUAUCUAAGGAAAACAUUCCAGUAACAGGGUUGACGUGGCCCCUCCCUACGUCUCUUCCACUGCUCCCCAAGCUGCUUUCAUUCAUUUCCAUCGGCACCGUUUCCAGAUGAGUGAAGACGCAGAGUAAUCCCCUCACUUAACCUUGCUCCACCUGUGUCCCUGGCUGGCCUCACAGCGAUCUCACAGAUGGACGACAGAGUAAUUGUUGGAGUGCCCAGGAAGAAGAUGGAGCCCCACAACAACGACUCCACUUGGUUGAUAUAAUGUCAUUACACUGGGGUCCCACAGCAACAACUCUACCUAGUUGAUACAAUGUCAUUAUGCUGAUAGCACCACUUUAAGAUGGGUUUUGGGUUACAAACUGCUCGAGAUGAUUCCAACUUGGCUGGCUGAGAUGGUGCACCUUCUUACAAUGUUCUGGCCAGAACUUCAAAUAAGAACUUCAGAAAAAUCCUACCGGCUACUCAGAGACUAUCUUCAAUUAUACCAGACAGUAAUCUUGAAACCUAACCAUUAUUUUAAUUUUUAAGGAUCCCAUAGAAAUUAUAUCACCCCCAUGACAGCUGGAAGUAAUUCUAGAAAACGACUUCCUCUCUCCCAACACAGUUUGUCUUCAUGGUUAGGGACAUCUAGUAGGGGUUGGUUAUAACUGGAAUAGGGUUGAGGGUGGAAAUAAAGAAGACUCAGGGAUCUCUCUUGAAAAAAGGGUGGAGAAAAUAGAUGGGAUGGGAUAAUAGGUAGAUUAGUUUGAGUUUACUCACACGAAUAACAAUAGUAAUAUUGAGAUUACUUAUGAGCUAUUAUUUAUAGACAAUUUAUAUUGGUAUAGAUUCUUGUAAUUGAUACAAAUUCAAAUUAUAUUUGUUAUAAUAAAUAUCGUCCUAUUUCUGUUUACAA